rnacentral:rRNA from 1 species
UACAGAGGUCUCAAGCGUUGUUCGGAUUUAUUGGGCGUAAAGCGCGUGUAGGCGGUUUCUUAAGUCUGAUGUGAAAGCCCUGGGCUCAACCCAGGAAGUGCAUUGGAUACUGGGAGACUUGAAUACGGGAGAGGGUAGUGGAAUUCCUAGUGUAGGAGUGAAAUCCGUAGAUAUUAGGAGGAACACCGGUGGCGAAGGCGGCUACCUGGACCGAUAUUGACGCUGAGACGCGAAAGCGUGGGGAGCAAACAGG